rnacentral:rRNA from 1 species
CCUACGGGAGGCAGCAGUGAGGAAUAUUGGUCAAUGGGCGCUAGCCUGAACCAGCCAAGUAGCGUGAAGGAUGACUGCCCUAUGGGUUGUAAACUUCUUUUAUAUGGGAAUAAAGUGCAGUAUGUAUACUGCUUUGCAUGUACCUUAUGAAUAAGGAUCGGCUAACUCCGUGCCAGCAGCCGCGGUAAUACGGAGGAUCCGAGCGUUAUCCGGAUUUAUUGGGUUUAAAGGGAGCGUAGGCGGGUUGUUAAGUCAGUUGUGAAAGUUUGCGGCUCAACCGUAAAAUUGCAGUUGAUACUGGCAGCCUUGAGUACAGUAGAGGUAGGCGGAAUUCGUGGUGUAGCGGUGAAAUGCUUAGAUAUCACGAAGAACUCCGAUUGCGAAGGCAGCCUGCUGGACUGUAACUGACGCUGAUGCUCGAAAGUGUGGGUAUCAAACAGGAUGAGAUACCCCAGUAGUC